CCUGGCGGCACUAGCGCGGUGGUCCCACCUGACCCCAUGCCGAACUCAGAAGUGAAACGCCGUAGCGCCGAUGGUAGUGUGGGGUCUCCCCAUGUGAGAGUAGGGAACUGC
rnacentral:rRNA from 5 species